GCUGGCGUAGCUCAGUGGUAGAGCAGUUGAUUUGUAAUCAACUUGUCGGGGGUUCAAGUCCUCUCGCCAGCUCCA
rnacentral:tRNA from 1 species